GAGUGUAGGUUGAAGCGAACCAGAGAGGACGACCUAAAAGUACAAAAAGAAACGACGCCGUGCCGAUUAGGCGUUUAUGAGCGUACGGUGCAUGUGGGCCUAAUUGGGUCAACAGCACAUGAAUGAUGCAGUUAGCAACAUUUAAAAAGCGAGGAAACCCAACAGAACGACACUCACGAACUAUACACAACUCAUACGAAGGUUUGAGUGAUGUCUUUUGAUCUGUGUGCAUUAUCUUCAAAGAGCCCUGGGCCUCCUCACGGUAUGAUGAAAUUAGUCUGCCAGAGACUGGACACCUGCUGUCUCAGUAGUGAGGGAGACAAGACAAGCAGCUUCAAAAAUUUGAGGUGCCUUCCACAGGCAGAAGUGAGGGGCUUGGAGAAAGAAGACACCCUUUUGCUCAUCAAAAUCAUUUGACCACUGUGGACUCUGUGACCUCGGCAGUCUAUCCAUUAACACCUAGCUGAGGAAUGACCAUGGCCUGAGAAUGCAGCCUCUCUGAACUUGUUAUAGAGAAAGUAUUUUUGCACAUGGCUGUUGUCAACAAAGAAAAAGGCAGGAUUUGUUUGAUAUCUCAGAUCAACAGCAACCCUAGAUUUAUUACCAAGAAAGGGAUUUCAGUGUAGGAGGAUUGGCAUGGGCCCAUCCUCUGACCUCACUCACUUCU